rnacentral:lncRNA from 1 species
CUCGUGCCGUAUUGGGCCGGGUGAGUUCUGCGGCGAGGAGCUUCUAACAUGGGCCUUGGAUCCAGGGCCCAGCGUGAUCCUCCCUUCGUCCACUCGAACAGUGAAAGCCAUCUCGGAAGUGGAGGCCUUUGCACUGAUAGCGGAGGACCUGAAAUUCGUGGCGUCACAGUUCAGAAGACUGCACAGCAAACAACUGAGACACAGAUUUAGGUUUUAUUCGUACCAGUGGAGAACCUGGGCUGCGUGUUUCGUUCAAGCCGCGUGGAGAAGGCAUAAGAAAAGGAAGGAAGUUGCUGAACUAAGGGCCAGGGCCAUUAACAAUGCUCAUCCUGGGACACCAACGUAUGCCACAAAGGUCGCCAAGAG